rnacentral:tRNA from 1 species
UAGUUCAGUUUGUAGACUGUGGGUCUCCAAAACCCAAUGUCAUAGGUUCAAAUCCUAC